GACAGUGUGAUGUUGUGGUUUUAAUGUCAGGCUAUGAUUCUGCAGACCAGGGUUCGAAUCUCGGCUCUGCCA